GCUUACGGCCACACCGGCCUGAGUACGCCUGAUCUCGUCCGAUCUCGGAAGCUAAGCAGGGUCGGGCCUGGUUAGUACUUGGAUGGGAGACCGCCUCGGAAUACCAGGUGCUGUAAGCU
rnacentral:rRNA from 1 species